GUGCUCCGCAUUGGCACGUCCAUCUUAGUUGGCUCUGGGUCCUCGACCAUGUUCUGGUUCGACCGCUGGUUAGGAGACUCCCCCCUGGCCGCUCAAUUUCCGGACCUAUUCGCCAUAGCGGUCGACCCUCGGGUCUCUGUCGAGACGACCCUUAUUGACUUAGGGCGCCUCGCCUUCCGGCGCCCCUUCGGCCCCCUUGAGGUUGCCGCGUGGGGCUCCCUCCUCCAGGAUAUCGCUCUUCUCUCGAUGGAUGUUGAGGGUACCCCUGACUCCAUCUCCUGGCGCCUGGAGCCAUCUGGCCGCUUCUCUACUAAGUCCCUUUACGCGGCAAUUGCCCCCUCGUUGGCCCCUGAGCCCUUUAGCCUGAUCUGGGACAUUCGCCUACCUCUGAAGAUUAGGAUCUUCCAGUGGUAGUGGAUUCGAGGACGCCUUCCCUUUGGGAUUGAGGUCCUCAAGCGUAAUGGACCGGGAGAUGGGAUGUGCCCCUUGUGUGGAACGGUGGAGGAUACUAACCACAUCUUCUUCUCCUGCUCCACAGCCCAAUUCCUAUGGUCCUGCUUCCGCGAGACGGUCGGUGGACAGUGGUGCAACACCAACUUCCUUGAUCUGCUUGCGGAGAUCCACGCUGCCCCUCCUCGCUACCGCCAUAUUAGAUGGUUGUGCGUUGGAGUCCUCGCCUGGAUGCUUUGGACCAUCCGCAACAAGCUCGUUAUUCAGAAAGUGCCUCUUCGACGUGCGACUGACGCAAUCUUCAAAAUGUGUGGUUACUUGCAGCUUUGGCGGCCGCUUAGCCGCCCUCAGGACCGGCCGGACGCCAUCAACACCAUCCUCGCCGACCUUUGCUCGAUGGCCUUCCGCAUGGCACCUCCGCUGCCGCCCCCUCCUCCGGAGCCCGAUUGA
rnacentral:rRNA from 1 species